rnacentral:rRNA from 1 species
UAAUACGUAGGGUGCAAGCGUUGUCCGGAAUUAUUGGGCGUAAAGAGCUCGUAGGCGGUUUGUCGCGUCUGCUGUGAAAUCUGGGGGCUCAACCCCCAGCCUGCAGUGGGUACGGGCAGACUAGAGUGCGGUGGGGGAGAUUGGAGUUCCUGGUGUAGCGGUGGAAUGCGCAGAUAUCAGGAGGAACACCGAUGGCGAAGGCAGAUCUCUGGGCCGUAACUGACGCUGAGGAGCGAAAGCUAGGGGAGCGAACG